AACGAACGCUGGCGGCGUGGAUAAGACAUGCAAGUCGGACGGGAUUUUCCGUUGUAGCAAUACGAUGGAAAGUCUAGUGGCGAACGGGUGCUUGACACGUGGGCAACCUGCCAGGAAGUGGGGGAUAGCUCGCCGAAAGGCGAAUUAAUACCGCAUGUGAUUAGAGAGGACAUCCUUUCGAAAUUAAAGUCGGGGCAACCUGACGCUUCUUGUGGGGCCCGCGGCCUAUCAGCUAGUUGGUGAGGUAAUGGCUCACCGAGGCUUUGACGGGUAGCUGGUCUGAGAGGACGACCAGCCACACUGGGACUGAGACACGGCCCAGACACCUACGGGUGGCAGCAGUCGAGAAUUUUUGACAAUGGGGGAAACCCUGAUCGAGCGACGCCGCGUGGAGGAUGAAGGUCUUCGGAUUGUAAACUCCUGUCAUUGGGGAACAAGGUGCAUACGUUAACUGCGUGUGCAUUGAUAGUACCCGAAGAGGAAGAGACGGCUAACUCUGUGCCAGCCGCCGCCGUAAUAC
rnacentral:rRNA from 1 species